GAGUUUGAUCAUGGCUCAGGACGAACGCUGGCGGCGCGCCUAACACAUGCAAGUCGAACGGAGCUGUUUUCUCUGAAGUUUUCGGAUGGAAGAGAGUUCAGCUUAGUGGCGAACGGGUGAGUAACACGUGAGCAACCUGCCUUUCAGUGGGGGACAACAUUUGGAAACGAAUGCUAAUACCGCAUAAGACCACAGUGUCGCAUGGCACAGGGGUCAAAGGAUUUAUCCGCUGAAAGAUGGGCUCGCGUCCGAUUAGCUAGAUGGUGAGGUAACGGCCCACCAUGGCGACGAUCGGUAGCCGGACUGAGAGGUUGAACGGCCACAUUGGGACUGAGACACGGCCCAGACUCCUACGGGAGGCAGCAGUGGGGAAUAUUGCACAAUGGGGGAAACCCUGAUGCAGCGACGCCGCGUGGAGGAAGAAGGUCUUCGGAUUGUAAACUCCUGUCCCAGGGGACGAUAAUGACG
rnacentral:rRNA from 1 species